UUGUGACAUACCUGUAUUUGCAUAAUGAAUCUACCUAAUAGAAAUUGCUGAGUGGAAACCACAUUCAGUCCAACAUAGGGGUGUGGGAUCACCUGAAGCUUCACCACCCACCCCCAACUUAUUUCACCAUAACAUUAAGCUAAACUCCUCUCAGGGAGCAUUAUCAAGGUUGAUCUUGGAGAAGCUUGGGUGAUCCAAAUACAGUAGUUAUGUUUUAAUUUAGGUUGCAUUGUAUCAUGUGGUUCAGUUCAGUAAUCGGUCAUGUUGAUAAAAAGCAAGUACAGGGGUACACAGUAUUUAUAUGAUGAACCUAUCUUGAUAGGAAUUGCCGACUGAACGAUACUUGAAGCCAACUUCAGUGCUGAUGAAACUUUGUAAUUCGCUGUUUAAGGAUGUGUGGACUUUUUUAUUUAAAAUUUUGUUUUGUUUUUCUAGGAAGCUGCUGUAAUGGGAAUCAACAUUUAAACUCUCUGGAGUUUUUGAAUUAAGGAUGAUCUUCUGUGGUGAAACAUUAUCCUGAAGGUUUUGCCUUAAGGAGUGAGCUUGUGUGAUGGAACAGCAUCUCUGAGAAUUCUACCAAGUUCUUGGAUUAAGAACUGAGGUCUGGCUGUGGAAGAAAAUCCUGGGAAUUUUGUUCUGGAGUCCUGGUAUUAAAGAGGAAGCUGCUGUAAUGGGAAUCAACAUUUAAACUCUCUGGAGUUCUUGAAUUAAGGAUGAUCUUCUGUGGUGAAACAUUAUCCUGAAGGUUUUGCCUUAAGGAGUGAGCUUGUGUGAUGGAACAGCAUCUCUGAGAAUUCUACCAAGUUCUUGGAUUAAGAACUGAGGUCUGGCUGUGGAAGAAAAUCCUGGGAAUUUUGUUCUGGAGUCCUGGUAUUAAAGAGGAAGCUGCUGUAAUGGGAAUCAACAUUUAAACUCUCUGGAGUUCUUGAAUUAAGGAUGAUCUUCUGUGGUGAAACAUUAUCCUGAAGGUUUUGCCUUAAGAUUAUAAUUGAGAUGAGGUGUACUGUAUGUUACCUGCAUAUUCAAGCCCCAUAUGUCCAACACAUCAUAAUUAGUUGAAGCCAAGACUCCUUCCAUACAGUUAAUCACUGACCCAUCGAAACAACCAAGCCAAGGUCAAGAUACCUGCAUAAACCGGACACUUUUGACAACUUGUUGCCAGUCACAGUAUUAUGGGAGUUUCAGAAUUUUUAAAAGGAAAUAUAUUUCUCGUGUCCAUCCA